AAACUCAAAUGAAUUGACGGGACCGCACAAGCAGCGGAGCGUGUGGUUUAAUUCGUUGCUACACGAAGAACCUUACCUGGGUUUGACAUAUAGGUUGUAGGGAACUGAAAAGGGACCGACCCUUCGGGGAGCCUAUACAGGUGUUGCAUGGCUGUCGUCAGCUCGUGUCGUGAGAUGUUCGGUUAAGUCCGCUAACGAGCGCAACCCUCGUCGUAUGUUAUAUGUGUCAUACGAGACUGCCGGUAAAAAGCCGGAGGAAGGUGAGAAUGAUGUCAAGUCAGCAUGACCUUUAUAUCCAGGGCUACACACACGCUACAAUGGUCUGUACAAUGGGUAGCCAAGCCGCGAGGCGGAGCCAAUCCCAGAAAGCCGGUCUCAGUUCGGAUUGGAGUCUGCAACUCGACUCCAUGAAGUUGGAAUCGCUAGUAAUCGCGGAUCAGCAUGCCGCAGUGAAUACGUUCCCGGGCCUU
rnacentral:rRNA from 1 species